rnacentral:lncRNA from 1 species
UGGGGAGGUGUCCCCGCCUGGGCCUUGUAGCGGCAGUGUGGGGUGCGGCUGAAAACACCAGGGAAGGAAAGCUUUCCUGCGGGUCUCUGGCUGCAUUGCUGAUGCCUCCCCCGAGGGCCACAUUCUUGUAUAGCGGUGUGAUGAUUUAAGGACCACAGUACAACUAUGGAUAGUGAACCAAACCCUGGAGCAUCUUCUGUGUCCACCACAACCAGUAGCACCACCACCACCACCAUCACUACCUCCUCCUCUCGAAUGCAGCAGCCACAGGUUUCAGUCUACAGUGGCUCAGACCGACACGCUGUUCAGGUAAUUCAACAGGCAUUGCAUCGCCCCCCCAGUUCAGCUGCUCAGUACCUGCAGCAGAUGUAUGCAGCUCAGCAGCAGCACUUGAUGCUACACACUGCUGCCCUUCAGCAGCAACAUUUAAGCAGCUCCCAGCUCCAGAGCCUUGCUGCCGUGCAGGCAAGUUUGUCCAGUGGAAGACCAUCUACAUCCCCAACAGGAAGUGUCACUCAACAGUCAAGUAUGUCCCAGACAUCUGUAAGUACCCUGACGUUUUCUUAUAUUAAAAAAAUUUUUAAUUUUUAAUUAUUGUUUUCCAAAAGUAAAUUGUUUUUAUUCAUGAGGCUAUUAUUGUAUUUGUGUUGCAUGCUGUUUUAAGUAGUAAAGGCCUAGAAAAAUGAACGUGAGGUUUCAGAGUUCAGAGUUAAUUUGAAGCUUCUGAAAAUUAGUCUUAAAAAUCUUUUUUUGUUUUAUGUUUUAUAUAUUUUUUUCCUGAUUAUGUUCACAUCUCAUGUGAUUCUAAAUUAUUUCAGUUUUCUUUUUUCAAAAUUUAAAUUGGUACAUUAUAGGUAUACAAUAUAAUGACAUUCAUCAUUGGAAAUUCGCACCUUUACAUAAUCUCUCUUGGUUCUCAUUUUUUCCCCCUUCCCCUGCCCUCCCUUCAUCCUCUCCAUUCCUCCCUAUUUACAAAGACUUUGUUACUGUUAUCAUUUCUCUAUAUUUCUUAUUUCAAUCAUCUAUAUAUCAGCA